rnacentral:SRP_RNA from 2 species
GCCGGGCGUGGUGGUGCACGCCUGUAAUCUCAGCUACUUGGGAGGCUGAGACAGGAGGAUUGCUUGAACCCGGGAGGCAGAGGUUGCAGUGAGCUGAGAUCGCGCCACUGCACUCCAGCCUGGGCGACAGAGCGAGACUCCGUCUCAA